AUGGAGCGAGUGUGCCACUCGGAUAGACGGAUCCGAAUGCCGACGACGAGCGGGACUGGACGUAAAGGAACACUCACAAUGCGGUGACGAAUGGUUCUGUGCUGUUUAGAUCGCAGAUAACGCUAUUUGGAUGGCAUUAAGGAAUUUAGUCCUUUGUCAUCCAAAGAGGAUGAUGGUGUUGGGAUUUAUGCAUUUCUUAUAGCGUUAUUUGUGGCGCAUCGUUUGAUUAUAACCUAUGAGUUUCCUGCAGUUUCCUAUGAUUCGUAGAAGUUUAUUUUUGCAGGUGAUGGCGUCCAGAUGUAUGAGUCUUUCGUAACGUUAUUAUUCAAAUUCAUCGAAACGAAACUACAUGCGUGAAGAAAACGAAACCUUCCACGAGAAUUGUUCCAUGAAAAAGUCCAUAUGCAUUUACAAAACGAUUAUGUGGAAGGGGAGUGGAAGUUAUCUGCCCAGUCUCACCGCCAUAAGUACACUGUAAUGCAGCCUCUCUUAUCGGCCUUAUUAAUCAUUCAACGAGUGUAACAUGGUUGCAUGAAAUAGAAAGAACGUAUCGCGCAAUUGUACGUAACGAGAAGGUUAACAAAUUGUACGGCUAAGGAUGUCAUCUAUCAGAUCGACUCGUGUUACGAUUAUCACACAAUCUGUCUCGAGACUCGUGUCCAACGUUCUUUACGUCUCUUUCAGCAAUAACGUAACUCGCAUACAUCAUCGUAGGGUAUUCCUUUGACAAGGAAAAUUCAAAUGAGGUUAUGAACUAAGCCUGAAAAGGAUUUUGAAUGUAUAGAAAUUAACCUAUAGCGAAUGAUAGAUACUUUGUAAUUUAAAGACACUCAAUUUUCAGAGAAAAAUUUACAAAGAAUAUGCUUAUAACUCUCCAGACUAAAGAAAUCAAUUUUUCAAUGUGAACAAAUAUUAUUAGAAUAACAAACAUCCUAAAUUAAAAUAAAAACAGAAAAAUGUGCGACGAAUAAUUUGCGAAAUAAAAGUCUACAAGUACAGCACGUUCUCAUAAUAGACAGAAAUUACAAAAUUCAAGAUUCCGUAUCUGUUAAACAAAUCAGAAACUAGCAAAAUUAAACUCGCCUUAAUCUCACGUUUAAUCCAUCAUAUUUUAUUUUGAAAAAGAUGCCUAAUACCAAAGCCAAUUUACUAUGAAAUCUUUUGCUAUUCGAACAUUGCAACAGCAAAAGUUUUAGAAUAGAAAAAUUUAGAUACCUUUUAUUUCUUAUAUAGUUUCAUCAACGGCGUCAUGCAAGCAGAGUAUAUAAUAAUAGCAGAGCAGAGCAAUAAUCGUUCCCUAGAUUUCACGAGGAUUUCAUAAUCGCGAUAAAAAGUAGAUUUAUUCGUACAGGUAGUAGAAACAUAGCAGGUCAGCCAGAGAUUCAAUUAAAGAGCUCACAUACGUGACUGAUUUUGUAGGAUUUACUUUCCAUUGAACUCGAGCAUCUCAAAAUCUAGCGCGGAAUUAUCUCAGAGUUAAUCGAAAGAAACUUCAUCAGACUGUUCGUCUGUCUCAGGCAGACGAUUGCCCAAAGCUAGGUUUAUUAGAAUUUAGAUUAUAAGAUGGAUAUGAAAUUCUGUUCAUUAUCAUGUUCGUUCAUCGUCUUCAAAUUGCAGACUCGCACUACUUUAAUUUAUCUAUCAGAUAUGUUUCGGUGAAUUAAAGAUUCGACACAGAAAAUGAGGAAAAUGUGGCAAAACAGUGGAAGAUUUGCACAAGAUCCUUCAGCUGACUCCUACACACGAGGUGCUGGCUCUUCUAUGAGGAACUCUGGUUGAAUUUUCAUUAGAAUUCAUCAAACCACCUUCAGACUUCAUUAUACUGUAAUAGUAGUGGGGCUGCAUAAUAACAGACUCACUGUACAGACCUUAUUUGCAUACAUUAAAAAGGAAGAUACGGUGUAUGGGAUGCAUCUUCACACUUUAGAAUGCUAGACAUAUUGCAGGCAACGCACCAUUGUUAGAACAUUAUACUUCUUCAUACAUAGUAAUGAGUAAAUAUAAGAUAGUAUUGCAGAAUAUAUUUUCACAUGCUGUAAUAAUAUUUAUGUUAUACGUAAAUACAAGGCGCAAUGUAUUAAAUUAGUCAAUAUACUAAGGAGAACAUUGUUUUGUAUGUUAUCACAUUGAUCAGAUUUCCAAACAUUAAUAUGCUACGAUAAAUAAUAUAGACUAUAUGCAUGUUAAUAUUUCUGUACUAUGUGUCACAUAUUACACAAUAACAGAGAUAACAUAGAAAAGAUAUUUUUACAUACUAUGUAAGUAUAAUGGAAAUAGUAUUAUAAAUAUCGUAUUCUUAUCUCACUCCUUUUAAUAAAUACACAUCUAAUAGAA